GAGAAGGGUAAGAAGUACAAAGCUGGUCUAAAUAGAAGUAAAAGACAUUAGAAUUUUAAAGGAUUCUUGGAUAAUCAAUUGAGAUUUUGCUCUGUUUUGUAGGGUGGCCAUACCUUCCCUUGCCGCCGAUCAGCCGUUGGACGCGCUGACUCAAAUAUGACAUUAGUUAUGUCUUAACACCGAGAGGGAUGUGGUUCAAUUGGUGAUAUCAACAAUGUAGUAGACAUUGUCUGAAGAUCAUCUCAUGAGCUUUAUAUUUGAUAUCUCCAGCUUCAGGCCGAGCAGCAUUAGAUCAGGAUUUAGAUUCCAUUCUGGGUGGUAAUGAUGAAGUUUUGUUGUCUGAAGCAAUGAUGAUCUGGGACUUGGUGAUGAAAUGUUUGGAAGUGAGCGGCCCUCUACAGCUCUGAGCGAAAGAUUGCACAGAAGGCAGGCAAAGAGAGAGGGCAAAGUUGAAAAAAUUAAUGGGUCGUAUUUGGAUGAUAACAAGACACCACCAGAAGGAAACAAGCCAGCGAGAAGAGAAACAACGAGUAAUGGUAGGGACGUCUCUACAGUUUCAGAUUCUCCCUGGACACGUUUUUUUAAAAUUUGAUUGUAAAAGUAACGUCUGAAGUUUGCUUAAGUGGAUAGAAUACUCAAUGCAGUGGUUUCAUUAAAAUUUUCAGUAGGAGGGUAACUGGUUUUCACAGGCGGGCAAAACG